AUGUUUUCGUAAUUGGACCCAAUUGGCUCUUCAAACCAAGCUCAUCCGUCGUUGAAUUGGUCCUUUUUCUUAGUGAUGACUUCCAUUAUUGGAAUCGAAUGGAGCAUUUCAGUAUGCCCUGACCGAUUGUGGCAGAGUGUCUGAAUUGGCCCCUGAAUAUUGGCACUUGAAUUAGUGGUUGCUCUCAAUAUUUGAGGUAAUUGAACAUUAAUAAAAGUCCCCUUUCUUUAUGUUUUCACGGUAUAUCAUAUUA
rnacentral:lncRNA from 1 species